rnacentral:rRNA from 1 species
UGGGGAAUAUUGCGCAAUGGGCGGAAGCCUGACGCAGCGACGCCGCGUGGGGGAUGACGGCCUUCGGGUUGUAAACCUCUUUCAGCAGGGACGAAGCGAGAGUGACGGUACCUGCAGAAGAAGCACCGGCCAACUACGUGCCAGCAGCCGCGGUAAUACGUAGGGUGCAAGCGUUGUCCGGAAUUAUUGGGCGUAAAGAGCUCGUAGGCGGUCUGUCACGUCGGCUGUGAAAUCCCGAGGCUCAACCUCGGGUCUGCAGUCGAUACGGGCAAACUAGAGUAUUGCAGGGGAGACUGGAAUUCCUGGUGUAGCGGUGAAAUGCGCAGAUAUCAGGAGGAACACCGGUGGCGAAGGCGGGUCUCUGGGCAAUAACUGACGCUGAGGAGCGAAAGCGUGGGGAGCGAACA